UAUUUAUAGUUAAUGUGCAGAAUCCAGACCAUGAGUCAUAUAAAUUUGCUCAACUUACUCUUUAUGUUGUUUGCUGCUGGGUCAUAUUUAAGUAUGAAGUUGUUUUUCUUUUUUCUUUUCUUUUUUAAAGUAAGCUCUGUGCCCAGCUUGAGGCUCGAACUCAUGACCCUGAGAUCAAGAGCUGAAUGCUGUACCAACUGAGCCAGCCAAGUGCCCAGAACAGGACACAGAGUAGGAGAGACAAGUCUGAGGGCAGUGCAUGAGACCGGCUCACUUCUUCCUCGCCGAGGGAUUGUGACCUAAUGCAACCAUGGGCCACCUGGGAAAAGAGCAGGCUGUUGCUGUGGAUGCUGGAAAGAGCUGAGCUGUCGGUUUGCAGCCUGACUGGGCUUCCACUGGUCUUUCUGCAAAAUUUCAAGCACCAAUUCGACCGCUUUCUUAUCAGCACUGCUGCUCUUGUGGGAACAUGUCUUCCUGGUUCAGCCAAGAAUUCUGCUGUCUGGGAUUGUUCAGGACAAAACCACAGUGCCCGUGGGGGGUGGUGUGUCUGUGUAAACUUGAACAUCAGAUUGCACUGGUAGGGCAGGUCCUUUGUUGGCCAGGCUUGACACCUUGUAUUCUUUCUUUCUCAGGCUGUGAAUAGAACAUGAUUUGGCAUCGGCCAAAUCCAUCUGCACAGAGUGAAAAGGAAGGCGCUAGGUGCAGGAGAGGGAGCCGGCAAAAGAGGAGGGAGUGGCUAAAUGAAUGAAAGCCUGAUGAGACCAUUGUGAAGAUUAAAAAGGCCUGUUUGUUAAACUGUGACCCCUUUAAAGGACAGUACAGGUUUUACCAAAGCAAGAACCCAGCCGGGCUACGGCUAAUUGCUGCCAUGUUUCUGAACGGUCUGCCUUUGGUAAGUGAUUUCCAUGGGAACAUGGCUGGCACCACGAGGAUGCGGCCGGAGGACGUGGGGGAGGGGAAGGCAGGGGCCCUCUGUUCACCUCCUCAGCCCCCCUGGCCCCAGCAGUCCCUGAAACCUCCCUGAGGAUCACAGAGUUAUGGGAGGAAGCUCUGUUCUCAGAGGCAGGGCACCCACGCCUGCACCUUGGCUCAUUGCUCACCUGGCUAAAUCACAUAGCCUCUCAGCCUUUGUGGAGAUCUCUUGCGUAUUUGGAAUAAAGGCACUAAUAUUCCUGAGCCACUUGAUCGGGUUGUUUGUGAGGCCUAAAAUAAUACCUGUGAACACGCUCCGUAAACUGGGAUGAGCCGCGUGCAGGGGACUAUUGCCACGUUAACCUUAAUUUCUGCUCUUUUUUCUAGGCUGAGUUGCAUCUUGUUUCUCUCUUUGAAAACUCCCUUCCCCCGUGGCUGGUCAGUUUCCACCAUGCUGUACCUCUGGAUCAUGCUUGAGCUCUGACGUUGUACUGCUCCGACUCUCUUGGUGGGGGAGCACGAAGGGACCCUCUUCCCUGAACAUCUAUUUCUCUUCCUCAGCCCUGUCUCCUUCAGAUCCCUGCACACAGGUUGUCACCUGUCCAUGAUGAAUGUUUAGUGAAGGGUCUUCUGGAUUCUUGUUCUUCACCCCCUACUGGCGGGGAAUGAGGCCUCUUUCUUCCUUCCUACCUACCUCGGUGCAAAGCAUUCAAUGAACUCCUUCAAAGGAAUCUGAGGAGUCACUUUGUCCUCGUGGGAGCACAUGCCCCCUUCUGGCCUGUGCUCCUUUCGCUGCCUGGUCCAGCUUACCCUGCGUCUUGACAUCAAUCCCUGCAUCUGACACAGCCCCCAUUCGCUGGAGUAUCGGCUUCAUCUGGGCUUUUUCGGUGUGAGGACCAGCCAGCGCUGUCCCCAAGCCUCCCGUGCAGGUGUACAAUGUAGUGACUCAACAAUUCUCUACAUGACUCCAUUCUCAUCAUGAAAGAACACAGCGUUGAGACCACAUUAUCACUGAACAGACAGAGAUGUUAACUACCGUUGGUGCCUUACAACUGACUCUGGUUCAGCAAAGUUAUGUUCAGAAUUUCACAGAAAACUGAUAAACAAUUACUAAGUACUGUGGGAAGAGAGAGAUCCUCAAGUAUAAGUGUGGAAAACGAGGCCUCAGUCCUCUAAAGCCCCUCGUGCGGAGCCGCCUUUCAGGAGCUUCCUAACACUGUGGGUGAGAUUAGAAGUUCAAACCUAGUUUUUAAAAACGUU